UCUAUAGACUGCAUCAUUUUGGGUGCUUCUGCAUGCAUCUCUCUCUCUCUCUCUCCCUCUCUCUCUCUCUCUCUCUCUCUCUGCAGAGAAAUGUUACGCGGUGUUGGGAGGGAGUAAUAGUCUCCUCACAAAUCAAGACAGGUGAUCAAAAGAUCUCGAUGGGUUCUGCUGGGAGGACGACAAUGGAGAAACCUUCAGGUCAGGAGCUUCAGCAGCAGCAACAGUCUCUCAAGUGUCCUCGUUGUGAUUCAAUCAACACUAAGUUCUGCUACUACAACAACUAUAGCUUGUCUCAGCCAAGGCACUUCUGCAAAUCUUGCAAGCGAUAUUGGACCAGAGGAGGCACUCUGAGAAAUGUUCCUGUAGGAGGUGGGUGCAGGAAAAACAAGCGAAUGAAGCGCCCAGCACCUUCUGCUUCUGAUCACACUCCUUCUUCUUCUUCUUCUCCUCCUAGUGCUGCUAAUUCAAACCUUCCUUCUCAACCCCACGUCGAUAGCCAUGUCAAUCCUCUGUUUUAUGGGUUACCCGGUAACUCGAAUUCUGACAUGAAUCCUCCAUUUUCAAGUUUCAAUUCUGGGUAUGAUCAUCUUCAACCUCGUCUGAAUGGCCUGGGAUUGGGUUUUUGCUCUGGGUACGCUUCAAGCGAUUCACUUUUCUCGAAUUACAACUCCAUCUUUGGUAAUUCGAUCUUCGGUAGUUCUCCUUCAACUUCCAUAGCUUCCCUCCUAAGCCCCAGUACUAACCUGCAGCAACAGAAGUUCAUCAAUGGAGGUGUGAAGGAUAAUGUUCAAGGAACUAGCACUUUCCAGGGCUUAGAACCACUAGAAAAAUUGAAAGUCGAUGAAGAAAGACCCAACCAGAUCAUGGAGCAUGGGAGCUUGUUCGAUUACUAUUCACCCUAUUAUUGGAACGAUCAAACUAAUAAUGUUGGUCCUUCAGUCACUUCUCUGAUCGAGUAAAAACAACAACCUCGCUCUCUCAGACAGACACUCACUCUCUCUCCUCUCGUUUCAAUUAGUCAUGUUCGGGUCCUUUUCUUUGCAGCUCUAUCUAUUAAUUAGGCCUCUUUUGUUCAAUACACUACUUUUUCUUUUUUGGGUCAAAAAGGGGUUGGGUUAAAGAUUGAAAAAGAUACAUAUAUGAGUAGCUAAAGAUGGGAGGAGUUUUGGAUCGGAGCGAUCAUGUCAGCUGCAAAUAAUAUAAUCCUCACCCUUGAGGUUGAGAACACUGCUUAUAUUGCGCUGAGAGGAACCUCGGAUCCUCUUCUGUCUCAUCGUCAGAGUAUUCCCCAAUGGAGAGAUAUCUAUCGGAAGUGGAAGUGCGGAAAAUCCUUCCUGGUGCAACUUCUCCAUAGUUGAUCAGAGUAGGACAUUGACUGUAGCCCACCAUCUGCAGUGCUGAUCUGGAAACCAGAAAUACAAGGUGGGGAAAAUAGCGUUCACAGUUAGGCUGUACAUGCAUGCAUUAUUGUACUAUAGGUAUUCCGAUUCCAUACUACAGCCAAUUCAUUUGAAAAAAUUUGCCUUGUGUGUGUACUGUGUAGGGCACAUAGCCCUCCACUUUACUGUUCUGGGUUACAUUUUCAAACCUUCACAAUGUGGAUAAUAUAAUAUCCUUCGGCGUCAUGUGUACGCUAGCUGCUCCUUCACGCCUGACCUUUUUACUUCUUUUCAGUACUUAUCUGAUCUCUCUCUCUCUCUCUCUCUCUCUCAGUCUCUCUCCUCCCUUUGAUCACCGUUUGCGAAAUUAAAGCUCUUUCUUUUUUUUUUUUUAUUGCUACCCUCUGAAUUUCAAACUGGCAUUUCAUCAUAUCAUGUCUGCUUUUGCAAGUGUUUAGAACACGCUCCAAUUUACUUCUUUUAGUGUUAUAGUGUUUGACAAAUCUUAUGUAACUAUUUAUGGUAGCAUUAGGUCCGGUGGUGAACGUCCAUCUGGAGCUUCUAUAUUAAACUACUUAUAUAAUACAGUCCUCUUUUG